rnacentral:sRNA from 1 species
GUAUGUUGCCGAAGACAGCAGGUGCCGAGAGGCGUAAACGUGAGUGCCUGCCGAGGAGAAUGAUAAAGGAUUUACGAAUUCUGCCCCUUCGCGCAAUGCGGAGGGGCUUUUUUCAUA